UAUGAAUUCAACUGGUAUUGCAACAUAAGCCUUGAGAUAUGACCAGAAUUUCAUGUUUCUGUCAAUGAAACAAGCAAAUAACAAGGAUGAAUCGCUAUGCGCAUGUGCAGUAGCCUAAACUACUCCUAGACAACAGUCAAUCAGAAGUACACCUAGGGAUUAAUGGCUUAGGCAGCUGGACUGAGGGGCUGAACUUCCUACAAAAAGAAUUGAACAUAUAGAAG